rnacentral:lncRNA from 10 species
CUUCACAAGAACAUUACCAUCACACAGAAAAUUUCCACCUUCUCUUUCCCAGGCUGUCCUCACUCUCAACAUCCCCUCCAGCCAACUGCUGUUCUGAUUUUCCCUCCAGAAACUGACUUCACCAAUUCUAGAACUUCAUACAAAUGGAUCACACGCCAGCUGACAAAGAAACAGUCUCGCAUCAAGUGCACAGGCUACUUCUUGAUUUCUGCUGAUAGAAACCUCAGUGAUGAAAGAGGAGCAGUAUCACUUGAGUCCAUGAAAUUCCCACUUGACUCCUAACAAUGGACUUGGGGAUAUCGGCAGCUGAGCCCUCAUCCUGGUUGCUCCCUUUUGAGUUCUAUGGAUCAAGGAAUUGAAGCUAGCCAAGAUGUUUUACUUAAUAUGAAAUAAAAUAUGCAUUUCUAUGAAUAUAAUAAAAUGAUUUGCCAGAGAAUUAC